rnacentral:rRNA from 1 species
UACGAAGGAUGCGAGCGUUAUCCGGAUUUAUUGGGUUUAAAGGGAGCGUAGGCGGUCUUAUAAGUCAGUGGUGAAAUCUCGUUGCUUAACAACGAACGUGCCAUUGAUACUGUAGGACUUGAGGAUGAGAGAGGUGAAUGGAAUUCCCAGUGUAGAGGUGAAAUUCGUAGAUAUUGGGAAGAACACCGGUGGCGAAGGCGGCUCACUGGCUCAUUACUGACGCUCAGGCGCGAUAGCGUAGGGAUCAAACAGG